UACGUAGGGUGCAAGCGUUAAUCGGAAUUACUGGGCGUAAAGCGUGCGCAGGCGGUUAUGCAAGACAGAUGUGAAAUCCCCGGGCUUAACCUGGGAACCGCAAUUGUGACUGCAUAGCUGGAGUACGGCAGAGGGGGAUGGAAUUCCGCGUGUAGCAGUGAAAUGCGUAGAUAUGCGGAGGAACACCGAUGGCGAAGGCAGUCCCCUGGGCCUGUACUGACGCUCAUGCACGAAAGCGUGGGGAGCAAACAGG
rnacentral:rRNA from 1 species